rnacentral:rRNA from 1 species
AUUGAACGCUGGCGGCAGGCCUAACACAUGCAAGUCGAACGAGUGGCGGACGGGUGAGUAAUGUCUGGGAAACUGCCCGUUGGAGGGGGAUAACUACUGGAAACGGUAGCUAAUACCGCAUACCAUCGGAUGUGCCCCUAUGGGAUUAGCUCGUAGGUGGGGUAAAGGCUCACCUAGGCGACGAUCCCUAGCUGGUCUGAGAGGAUGACCAGCCACACGGGGACGGAGACAGGGUCCAGACUCCGACGGGAGGCAGCAGUGGGGAAUAUUGCACAAUGGGGGAAAGCCUGAUGCAGCCAUGCCGCGGGUAUGAAGAAGGCCUGCGGGUUGUAAAGUACUUUCAGCGGGGAGGCGUUACCCGCAGAAGAAGCACCGGCUAACUACGUGCCAGCAGCAGCGGUAAUAC